GUUUUCCAUGCCCAUGUGCUUAUGGGCUCCAUCCAGCCAACCUCCGUCAAAUGUUCACUUGACUCCCCUUAAACUCACACAAUAAGAAACCAGUGACAGAAAAGACAUUU
rnacentral:lncRNA from 1 species